CUCCUACAGAAACUAACGUAUACUUCUGUGCCUCUGACAGCCCGGCCCAGUGAUGAGUACACAGUUGUAAUUGAAUUGCAUUUGAUGUUGUUUGCACUAACACAGCACCAGACUUCAGGACAAACCACAGCUCUGCAGAGCAGAGUUCUGGCCCACUCUCCCCCCACCUCACCCCCCGUGGCUUGGGUCUGCCCUUGUUGUCCUGACCUGCCGGAGGUUUCAUCAGCAUUACCUCUGACUCAUACUUCGCAUUCAAGAGCAAGAUGAAUUCGCUAGCAAUGAGUACCUGGAAGAGGGCCAGACUAUUGGUACUAAAGCAGUGCUGGCCCCAACACAGCUCGCUGGGCCAGACGUUGAUGGGAAAUGGCUGACAGCAGGAUAAACAAGCAGCUCCCUUUUUGGUGAGCUUCAGGGGAAUCAGGUGGACAGAAUCAAGGCUUCAGAAAGAAAACAUGAGAGACAGGGAAAAAACGCUUGAUGACGUUGAUAUACAGUUUGAGUGUCUUUUCUAAUCUGGAUCAACUUCGAACCAAGAUGAAAGAAGCAUAGAAACAAAAGCACAAGAGAAGAAAAGGCAAGAAAAAUAAGGGGAGAGAGGAUGACAAGAAUAGUACCAGGCUGGGCACAGGGGCUCAUGCCUGUAAUCCCAGCACUUUGGGAGGCUGAGGCGGGUGGGAUCGCCUGAGGUCAGGAGUUUGAGACCAGCCCGCCCAACAUGGUGAAACCCCAUCUCUAUCAAAAAUACAAAAAUUAAAUUAGCUGGGCGUGGUGGUGCACACAUGUAAUCUCAGCUACUUGGGAGGCUGAGGCAGGAGAAUUGCUUGAACCUGGGAGGCGGAGGUUGCAGUGAGCAGAGAUCAUGCCAUUGCACUUACAGCCUGGGUGACAAGAGCGAAACUCCGUCUCAAAAAAAAAAAAAAAGUACCGGCUGGGCGUGGUGGCUCACGCCUGUAAUCCCAGCACUUUGGAAGGCCGAGGCAGGUGAAUCACGAGGUCAGGAGAUCGAGACCAUCCUGGCUAACAUGGUGAAACACCGUCUCUACUAAAAAAAUACAAAAAAUUAGCCGGGUGUGGUGGUGGUCGCCUGUAGUCCCAGCUACUUGGGAGGCUGAGGCAGGAGAAUGGCGUGAACCGGGAGGCGGAGCUUGCAGUGAGCCAAGAUCGCGCCACUGCACCCCAGCCUGGGCGACAGAGCGAGACAACGUCUCAAAAAAAAAAAAAAAAAAGGUACCAAAAAUGAAGUAGAAUUAGGUCUGGGUAAUGGGAGUACCUUUUCUCCUUUUCAUACCAACCUGCCCCCAAACUCCUGACACCUCUGCCUGGGAGAGAAAAGCCAGGAAUUGGGAAAGGAAAGUGGAACAUGGAAUCUUCUGGAGUCGUCAGUAGAAGCAGACGUCCAUUAAAGGCAGAAGUACACAGAGUUCCACUUCAUUGUAACAAGGAUGAAAGGUUAAAAGUCCCAGUACAUAGGCAAAUAUAUUUAGUGGUGGAAAGUUGAGGAGUUUCUAUCAGAUGUCUUCUGCUUUAAUUGUGAAAUAUGAAGUAAAGUUAUCUGCCCUGAGGGGAGAGGUGGGAAUUCAGACAAUGAAAAAGUUUGAGCAAAUAGUGGGGUUCGUCCAGAAUUGGGGUUUUGCUAGAUAACUUCAGUGGAAGGAUCAAGGGUCAAGGGAAUUUAGAAUAUAAGUAAUAUGUUCUGGAUAGGAGGAAACUGAAGACAAAAGUGGUUGGUGGAUGGGCAGAAAGGAAAGAGGAGGAGUGAUGGGAGCAACAGAGUAAGCUGGAGGGAGGGGGAUGUAGCCGGAGGGCAGUCAUCUGUACUUGUUAUCUCAGGGGGGAUGUCCAGGUCUAGGGUGAAGCUGUGAGAAUGGAAGGCGGAGAUGGGGUAUGGAAGAUCACUGGAAGAUGAGGAGGUCAGAGAACUGAGUGCUCAGUGGUUAGAUGGGUCAGAUAGAAAGAAUAUGAAACAAAUGCCAGGCUUCAACGACUGAGGAGGAGUGAACAGAAAACCAAAAGAGAAGAACAUCAUGGAAGGGCAGUGGGGGCUUGGCCUGAUGACCUGGGCCUUCAAGGAGCAGGAAUCCUGAGGCAGAUGUUGGUGAUUUUUAACCUCAUCCUUUCAUCAUUUUUCUUGCUGAUAGAGCCUUCCUUCCCCAUGGAGAUCACAUGUAUGAGCUCAUGACCCAACCCUAGCCAACAGGACUAGGGGGCAAUAAGAUGGGGGCUUCGGGGAAAGAUUUUCCUCCUUGUUAGGAAAUUGUAGGUGAGGAGAAAUUGCACUUUCCAGUUUUGACAUUAUAGCAGGUUGAAUAAUUCCCCUGAGAGAUAUCAGGUGCUAAUCCCUGGAACCUGUAAAUGUUACCUUGUAUGGGAAAAGGGUCUUUGCAGAUAUGAUUAAGUUUAGGAUCCUGAGAUAGGGAGAAUAUCCUGAAUUGUCCAGGUGGGCCCUAAAUGCAGUCACAAAGUGACCUUUUAAGAAAGGGGUAGAGGGAGAUUUGAUAUAGACAGAGAGAAGACACACACACACACACACACACACACACACACACACACACACACACAAAGGUAAUGUGAAGGUGGAGUCAGAGAUUGGAGUGAUGUGGCCACAAGCCAAAGAAUGCUGGCAGCUAUCAGAAUCUGGAAGAGGCAAGAAACAGAUUCUCCACUAGAGCCUUCAGAGGGAGAAGAGCCCUGCUAACACUUUGAUGUCAGCCCAGUGACACAUCAAACCUCUGGCUUCUAGACCAGUGAGAGAAUAAAUUUUUGUUGUUUUAAGAACCAAGUUUGUGAUAUUUGUUACGGAAGCCAUAGGAAACUAAUUCAGAUGUAGCAGUGAGGGAUUUGAUGACUGGAGUGGCAGCAGCUAUCUUGAAACCAUGAGGACACAAACCUGAGGAUAAAAUUAAAUACAAUAUCCUGGAGAAGACAGAGUGGAAAAAUGGAAAGACCUGUUGAAUUAGCCACAUAUCACUCAACCUUU
rnacentral:lncRNA from 1 species